UAGGCGGGCGGCAAGGGAAAAAGGGCGAAUCCCAGGGCGCUGCGACUUAAGGGUAAAGGCCACGGCCUCCAUUCCCUGCGCGUUCGGGUCCUGCCUCAGCCCCGCCUCGGAACCCGCCCGUCGCCUCCUGUGGAAGGUCUGGGAUGCAGAACGCCCCGCUCUAACCUUCUUAACCGACCCACAUGAGGGGAUGGGGUGAUGAGGCGGGAUGGGGCCUGAGGAGGCGGUCGCCCCGGGCUGAGGCCCGCACAGGGAAAAAGAGAAUUGUCACGUACCACUUAGGCGGCUAGAGCCUGGCCGAUUGUACUUCAGAAUACUCGGGCACCUCCCCAGGUGAUUCUGAUGUAUGAAGGGGGUGGGCGCUGCUGGGGCAGUUGUUUCUCAGAUCGGGGGUGGGACUCUGUGUUCCGCAUCACCUGAAGGGGAGGGCACGUUAACGGGACUGACUUUCAGACCCACCCGCUGCCUUGCCGGUGAAUCGCCUGUGGUGGAGCCGGCCUCGGGUCGCUAACCAGCGGCCCCGUCCCUGCAGGAGUUGGAGAACCCUGGUCUAAGAGGGAAGGGCCCGAGGGACCACAUAUGCUCUUCAAAAGGAGUUCCUCCAGCUGUUUAGAUGAAAUAUAAGGUAAAAGAAUGCAGACAAGCAUGGAAAGUGAGGACACAAAGAAAAUACAAGAAAUGAAGACUGACCUGAACUUAUUAUUGGAGUGUCUGAAGUAUCAAAUGGACAAUGCUUUUUCGCAAAAGGAAGCUCUUGUCACUAUUCAUUCAAUUUGCCAACAAAACAGUAAUGCAAGUCUUUAUUUUCGGGAAAUUGGUGGUUUGAUGUUUGUAAAAAAUCUUGCAAAGUCAAGUGAACAUAGUAUGGUAAAAGAAGCAGCAUUAUAUACAUUAGGAGCUGUUGCAGAACAAAAUGUUUACUGUCAGCAGACUUUGUGCACUUCAGAAUUGUUUGAAGACUUAACUUGGUUCUUAUCCAACAAUGAUUCAAACACAAAUUUGAAAAGAAUGUCUGUCUAUGUUAUUUUGGUUCUAGUUUCAAAUAAUAGGACUGGACAGACGCUUGUGAGAGAAACAGGUUGUAUUUCAGUUCUAUCACAGUUGUUCAAGACAGUUCUUUCAAAAUAUGAGUUGAAUUUGUCAGAUGAAAAUGUUUUCCAGAGUUAUCAGUUGUGGUCUUCAGUGUGUAGUACUCUGUGUGUCUGUGUCAACAAUCCUCAAAAUGAUGAAAAUCAAAUGCUUUGCUCUUCACUUUUUCCACAUGCUAAUGACUGGCUAAUAAAUUGCAUGAAACCUGAGAUAAUUCGCCCUAUUUGCUCAUUUAUUGGACUCACUCUUGCAAAUAACACAUACGUGCAGAAAUACUUUAUAUCUGUGGGUGGACUGGAUGUAUUAUCUCAAGUUCUUGUGCAGUUGGAAUCUGAUUCACACAAGACUCUUUCCAGUGCUAAGCUUGCAGUGGUGGUGACAAAGACAGUGGAUGCAUGUAUUGCUGAUAAUCCUACUUUUGGGGUAGUACUAUCCAAGUACCACAUUGUUUCAAAACUUCUGGCAUUACUGCUUCAUGAAAGUCUGGAUUCAGGAGAAAAAUUUAGUAUCGUACUUACUGUUGGUCAUUGUACAGAGGAUUGUGAGGAAAAUCAGUAUGACCUUUUUAAAAGCAAUGGGCUUCCACUCAUGAUACAAGUCUUAACUGAAUCUCAGAACGAGGAACUAAACAAAGCUGCCACUUUUGUGCUUCACAACUGCAAAAAAAUUACUGAGAAAUUAUCUCUAAGUCUAGGAGAAUAUUCUUUUGAUGAAAAUGAAGAACAAUUAAAGGAUGUAAAUAUGAAAGAGAAGAAUCUUGAAGAUUACUGGAAGAAAGCGAAGGAAAUUCUACACAGAAUAGAACAGCUUGAAAGAGAAGGAAAUGAGGAAACAGUACAAAGAGAAAAAUAUAAGGAUUAUGUUUCAUCUAUGAACAUAAAUAUUCAAAAUACAUUGAAACACCUCCACGCAGAUAGCAGUGGUGGAGGUCCCAAAGCAGAAGAUAAGGAUAAAAGCCAGUCUAGAAAGCUUCAGAGUUAUAAGUCCCAUGAAGUCAUGUCUAAAGCAUGUACAAAUGAUGAUCAAAUGAAGACCCUGUUAAAGAGUGCAAAUCCAGUUAAUGCUUGUUAUAGGGAGAGUGGGCAAAAUAAGACUUUAUGUAAAGCCAAUUCAAGCUGCAAUCAAAAGUUACGUGAAGAAACAACCUUUGAAAAAAAGAAUUUUGUUUCUCAAUCAAGCGACCAUAUUUUUAAACAUCCAACUCCUAUUGCCAAAAACACAAAGCAGCAGUUACCAGUAACAGAUCCAUUUACAUUAUGUUCAGAUAUAAUAAAUAAAGAAGUCAUUGGUUUUCUAGCAACAGACAAUUGUUCCAAAAUGUUGAAGUAUAGAUGUUCAGGUUGCAUAGCAGUAGGAAAAUCCCUGAAUAGCCGAAAUUUUAGCAAGCUCUUACACUCUUGCCCAUACCAAUGUGAUCGUCACAAAGUCAUUGUGGAAGCUGAAGACAGAUAUAAAAGUGGACUAAGGAAAUCACUUAUCUGUAACAAGAAAAUUCUGCUGACCCCACGUAGAAGACGACAACUCAAUAAUGAAUCUACUACCCCUGGAGGAAUAAGUGAAUAUAUUUAAUUUUUAAAUAAAUAUAAAUUUCGUAUAUUCCUGAAAAAGAACAGCUGAAUGAUUGUUCUCAGUCACAUCAUUAAUGGCUUUUAAAUGAUAACCCUUUCUUCUUAUGAGGGUCAUACUUCCUGACAAAAGAGGCUUCCCUCUUCCCUUUUUCAUGUUGCUUGCUCAUCUGUUACUUUCCAGCUGGGGAAGGGGCAGGAGAAAACUAACAUUUAUUAAGAACCUCCUAUGUAUUAGGUGUUUCAUACAUGUUAUUUGCUUUAUUUCGUAUAAUAACAUUGUAAGAUAAGCUAUUAUUUUAUUCCCACUUUAAUUUGUUUUCUUUUAGGUUGCGUAGCAGUAGGAAAAUAGCCAGAAUUUGCCAAUGAGUUGGCAAAUGGCAGAACUUAGAUUCAAAUGCAAGCCUGUCUUUCUCCAGAAUCCCCUUUUCUAUCCUCUGGAUCACUUUUCUAUUUUAAGAGCAAAGUUAUUCUCCUAUGCACAAGUGCUUCAGAAAAAUUUUGCGGAAGAUUUUGGUUCACAUCUGCAGCACUUUGAACAAUCAAAAUUGAAGAGACAAAUAGUAUAAACCUUAGAGCCCUGUUUAAAAAUUAAAAUACUUCUAAACUAUGAGUUAAUUUACAGGAGCUUUUCUUUAACUACAGGGUUAAUCACCAUUUCAGGUUUAUCACUAUUUCAAAUUUAUCACAAGACUUAAAGAACAUUACCAUUAUCUUCUGUUCAUAUGGAAUUAGUAUGUGCAGAGUAAGACUAAGCCGUUGAGUACACUACUUUUCAAAGUCACCUAGAAAUUAGUAAUAUCUGUAGAGCCAUUCUAUUAUUUAUUGUGAAGACAUUUGGACUUGAUCCAUCCAGGAAACAUUUUGCCACAUACUUUUGUUUGGCCAUUUUCACUGCCAAAACCUUGAAAGAAAUUUCAAAUUUACUUUUUCUAACUGGGUCUUUUUCUAGGUUAAAAUUUCUGCAUACAAAUUAAAAUUAAGCGCAGUACCACUACAGGGUAGCCCACUUUUUGAAGUAAUAUUUUCUGUAGAAACUGUUAGAAAAUGGGUAUUUUUCCAUAGAAACGUUACAGUUGGAAAUCUUUUUGAAAAGGAGUUGGCAUCAAAUUAAUAAUAGAAUUUCUUGAGCAGCAUGUCUUAAAAGCAAAUAUAUAACAACUAAAAGUAUUCUAUAAUCAUUUUUUCAUAGUAAAAUCAUUUGCAGAGCAUCAUGAAAUAUACAUAAUUAUGGUUAUAUAUUGAUUAUACAGAAGGAUCCUAACUACUGUUAAGUCACUUUCAGCUCGUAAAUACCUACAUCUUUUUUGUAGAUUCCAGCUGCUUAGCUAAAAUCCAAUAGUUAAUAAGUUGGCCUGCUUUUUUCAAAUUUAGAAAGGCAUCUUGAGGAGGUAGUGAUUAGAUUGGUCUUAUAUCUCUUUUACAAGCAGGCCAGGAAUAUUUGAUGUACUGCCAUUUUUCCCCCUCUUAAUAAAUUUCACUUUCAUACUAGAGACAUUCAUCACCUUUCAUUUGGUUAUAGGUUACACUCAAAUUUGAGACUCUUCUUUUGAGAAGGGACCAUUUGCAGCAUCUAAGUAUUUAAAGAGCCUUGGGGGCAAGGCUCUCUUUUAGGAUGGAUUGAUAAUCUUGAGAGGGUUUGAAAAAUAAGAGUUUCUAGGAGGGCUUCCCUGGUGGCGCAGUGGUUGAGAAUCUGCCUGCCAGUGCAGGGAACACGGGUUCGAGCCCUGGUCUGGAAAGAUCCCACAUGCCGCGGAGCUACUAGGCCCGUGAGCCACAAUUGCUGAGCCUGCACGUCUGGAGCCUGUGCUCCGCAACGAGAGAGACCGCGAUAGUGAGAGGCCCACGCACCACGAUGAAGAGUGGCCCCCACUUGCCGCAACUAGAGAAAGCCCUCGCACAGAAACGAAGACCCAACACAGCCAUAAAUAAAUUAAUUAAUUAAUUUAAAAAAAUUUUUUUUUAAAUGGUAAGUUUAAAAAAAAAAAAAAAAAGAGUCUCUAGGACUGAGCCCUCUUGCCUAUUUUUCCCUGCUUUUUUCUAAUGACCAAUCAGUAUUAGGAGGAGCACUGAAGAAGUCACAGAAGGGAGUCUUGUGGUGUAGAGAGCUGUUUCCUUCUUCUAGGCUGCCAACUAUGCUGCUGUGGUAACCUUUGAGGUAUUUGGCACAGAUGCUAAUUUAAGCGUAGAAGUCAGUGAGACGGCAACUGCAGGGGAAAAGUGGGGAUUGGCUCUACAUGAACAACCUCAGGACCCAAUAUCUUGAAUGUUAUAAUAACCCAUCUGGUCCUGAUUAUAAUGAGUUCAGAUCAUUUAGCAAGUGAAGUUGAAAUCAUCUAUUUCUCGGAUAACCACAGUUUUCCAGUAGACCCAAGUAAGAAGUAACUUCAUUGAUAAGUUUUAAAACAGUUUUUACCGGUAGUAACAUUUUUAUGUCAACAAAUAUUUAUUGAUCACCUACUAUGUGUCAGACACUGUCUUAGGCACUGGGGACACAUGGUGAGUAAAACAGACAAAAAUCCCAGUCUUCAUGGAGCCUGCAUUCUAAGGAAUACCAUUAAGUAAUAUUUAGACAUUAUUUUCAUUGAUUUCUUGGCCUUCUGCUGGUAAGAUUUUUCCCUCCUGCUUUAAAAGAUCUGAACUAUGGCUUCUAUCUCAGGAUAGAUGGACUAACAGUCAUGACAUGCAAAGGCAAGAUUUUCGAAGGUUGUCCCAGCAUCGCUAUUCAAGGUCCUACUAAAGUAAAUAGCAGCCUUAAUUGGAAAUACAAAAACUCUUCCUCAUCAGCAUCUACCCACAAUGAUAACGUGCAUUAACAGUGAAUUAAAAAUCUUAAGGGACUUCCCCGGUGGUCCAGUGGUUAAGAAUCCGCCUUCCAACACAGGGGAUGCGGAUUCUAUUCUAUGAAGUUAUGGAGCCCUUUGGGAAGACUGUAUCUGUAAGAUAGAAAAAAGAAGAAUUCGUAAAAACUUUACUGAAGAAGAAGUAAAUUACCUUUUCAAUGGAGUUAAGAAAAUGGGAAAUCAC